rnacentral:rRNA from 1 species
AUUGAACGCUGGCGGCAGGCCUAACACAUGCAAGUCGAGCGAGCGUCGGCCGGGUGAGUAAUGUAUGGGGACUGCACGAUAGAGGGGGAUAACUAAUGGAAACGGUGACUAAUACCGCAUACUAUCGGAUAACCCAUAGGGGAUUAGGUAGUAGGUGGGGUAAAGGCUCACCUAGGCGACGAUCUCUCGCUGGUAUGCAAGGAUGAUCAUACACACGGUGACUGAGACACGGCCCAGACUCCUACGGAGGCAGCAGUGGGGAAUAUUGCACAAUGGGAGAAAGCCUGAUGCAGCCAUGCCUCGUGUAUUAAGAAGGCCUUAGGGUUGUAAAGUACUUUCAGCGGGGAGGCGUUACCCGCAGAAGAAGCACCGGCUAACUCCGUGCCAGCAGCCGCGGUAAUAC